rnacentral:rRNA from 1 species
CCUACGGGUGGCAGCAGUGAGGAAUAUUGGUCAAUGGGCGCGAGCCUGAACCAGCCAAGUAGCGUGAAGGAUGACUGCCCUACGGGUUGUCAACUUCUUUUAUAAAGCAAUUAAUUGAGGCACGUGUGCCUUUUUGUAUGUACUUUAUGAAUAAGGAUCGGCGAACUCCGCGCCAACAGCCGCGGUAAUACGGAGGAUCCGAGCGUCAUCCGGAUUUCUGGGGUUUAAGGGGAGCGUAGAUGGGUUGUUAAGUCAGUUGUGAAAGUUUGCGGCUCAACCGUAAAAUUGCAAUUGAUACUGGCAGUCUUGAGUACAGUGGAGGUAGGCGGAAUUCGUGGUGUAGCGGUGAAAUGCUUAGAUAUCACGAAGAACUCCGAUUGCGAAGGCAGCUUACUAAACUGCAACUGACAUUGAUGCUCGAAAGUGUGGGUAUCAAACAGGAUUAGAUACCCGGGUAGUC